CACGGAUCAACUCCGGUUGAUCCUGCCGGCGGGCACCGCUAUGGGAGUUCGCUUAAGACAUGCGAG
rnacentral:rRNA from 1 species